rnacentral:rRNA from 1 species
CCUACGGGAGACAGCAGUGAGGAAUAUUGGUCAAUGGACGCAAGUCUGAACCAGCCAUGCCGCGUGCAGGAAGACGGCUCUAUGAGUUGUAAACUGCUUUUGUACGAGGGUAAACGCAGAUACGCGUAUCUGUCUGAAAGUAUCGUACGAAUAAGGAUCGGCUAACUCCGUGCCAGCAGCCGCGGUAAUACGGAGGAUUCAAGCGUUAUCCGGAUUUAUUGGGUUUAAAGGGUGCGUAGGCGGUCGGAUAAGUUAGAGGUGAAAUCCCGAGGCUCAACUUCGGAAUUGCCUCUGAUACUGUUCGGCUAGAGAGUAGUUGCGGUAGGCGGAAUGUAUGGUGUAGCGGUGAAAUGCUUAGAGAUCAUACAGAACACCGAUUGCGAAGGCAGCUUACCAAGCUACUUCUGACGUUGAGGCACGAAAGCGUGGGUAGCAAACAGGAUUAGAUACCCCAGUAGUC